rnacentral:misc_RNA from 1 species
CCUAUAAUUAUACUAUUUAUCAGCUGCCACUCCUCCCAUUUCCAAAGAUCAAUAGAAAACAGGAUGAGUUUUUUCACUAGAUUAUGUGUUCAUCUUUCAGUGUUGUAUAGCCCCUCAUGCAUUGGGUUUUCUGGAAAAGAAAAAAUUGGCUAGCAUUAGUAAACUGAUAACUCGAUUCCUUUGUCAGAAAGAGAAAAUCCCAAUUGUUUAAAACAAAAAUGAUCAUACAAGUAAUUGCAGCAAUCAUUGGUAUAUAAAAGAAUGCAAUCAGAAUUACUGGAACUUCACACUAUAAAACGAUGCAAAAGAAUGCAAGGUACAGAGAAAAGGCACAAUAGUUAUAUGCCUAUAAAAUAAGUUCAAAUUGGAUUAAACUAGCAAUCAGAACUACAUAACUAUAAACAGUCACAAUAAAAAACAAGCACUGCACAACAGAGGGAGGACGUAGCAUCACUUGAACUUCAUUUGCAUUUGUGUCAUGGAGAAGUGACAUGAGUUCUGAUUCUGCUAGAGCGCCUAACUGGAGUAAAAAUCUCUUCUUCUCCAUUUCCAUUCUUGCUGAGAAUUUUCUCAUAUGUGGUAAAACUUCCAUAAGACAGUGACCCUGUAGAGUAGUCGGAUGAAGCUAGAGAUUCUCUCUUGGAGUUCUUUCGAGGCUUCCUUUCAUGGCUAUGAGCUUCUCUUGUCCCUUUCUUUCCUUCCUUGCUAUAAGAUGAGAUGUACUCGAAACUACUCAUUUCUGAUGGACAUGACUCUCCAACUGUUUCAACCUCUGUUGUCCUCUCCUGGAAUGUGUGUGCUGCGGUCACUGACAGGGGACUGUAAUCCAGUUUCUUGGUCAGUGGCCCUUGAUCAUCUAUUGUAAUUGCGACAUUUGGUCUGGUGGAUGUUUUAUUCUUCACAUGAACGAAAGCAAAAGCUGCAAGUAGACCCAAAACAAGCAAGGAAGUCCCCAUCACCGCCUGAGAUGAAAAUAUGUUGUUCUUAGUUCCAUGAAUUGCAGAGUCCACUGAUUCCGAAUUCAUUGCAGCAUCUGAAUCCAAGCUUUCAGGUUUGUUCUCUGAGAUGGAGGAUUCAGUUUCAACUGAAUUCAUAUCAUUUUCAGCUAAAGACUGUCUGGGAUGAGAUUUAUCUGGCUGAAAUUCAGCAGCCUGUGGGAUUGGAACUAGCAGGUCUAUAGCAUCUAUUUUACUUUGCAGCUCACCAACGCAACCUGCGGUUUCCACUCUGUCUUGGGUUAUCGGCGCCGUAGGUGUAUUACCAGGUUCAGUCGCCUUAGCCUGCAGAGUCAUAUUUGCUUCUUCAGAUUCCAGAACAAUAUCGUCCACUAAAACCUCAACCUCAAGGUUGUCAUGUGUUGCGAUCACUUUUUCACCUUCAUAUUCUUGGUCAUUCUUUUCUCCUUCUGCAGCUUCCUCAAUAUUUUCAUCAGUUUCCUUAUUCUCAUCAACUUCAUUUCCUUCUACUUCAACAUUCUCAUCAACUUCAAUUAGUUGAUCCUCCUCUUCCUCAAACGAUUUAAUAUCAACCUCCCUUGUCAAAGUGAACUCAUUCCUUUCAUACUUGACUGCUGCACUAAAAGGACUCUGGUCAACCAGAAGGAAAUUAUUAACCAAGCCAUCCUCUGGCAAAGUGGUUAAGUUGGCAAACCGCAAUGGAGAAGGUUUGGGCCGUUCUCUGAAGCUGAUGAUCAGAUUAUGGAUAUAAGAGAAAGAAUCAUGUAUCCGUUGCCGAAACUUUUGAGUUAGGCCUUCCAAAUUGUCUCUGAUGGACUCUGACAUUUCAGGUGGGACAUAUAGAUUAGAUAAGCUUAAAUUAUUAAGCACAGAUGGAUCCAUAACUGAUGAAUUAGUGACUGAGGCCCAUAAACAAGCAAUAGCCAGGAUCAAAAGAAAAGCAGUGAACUUUGUUUUCGUAAAGAAAUGUGGCUUAGGCAAACUUUUUGCUUCGGCAGCUCCCUUAGAUGUACUGAUGGGAUUCGGUUCAGACACAAGCAGCUCCUCCUCCUUAUCUUCUUCUUCUACUUUAAUCAACACAUCACCUGAAGAAGCAUCUUCAGAUUCUUUCUUUGAAUCAUCAGAAAGGGUUUCUUCUUCAGUUACUUCAGCUUCUGAAGAAGUUUCAGUUGCAGAAUUCUCCUCAAGCUCUUUGCCAUCUCUUUCCUUGUUAAGAUAUAGCUGGAUUCGUGGGUUAGGCUUAUAAUGAAGAAAUUGAGGCCUUGGAGAGAGAUAAUUAGUCUUGGGAUCAUAACGAGGCAUUAAUGGAUCUGCAUCAAGAGGUGCCAAGGGACAAGAAGCCCUUGGACUAAUCUCAAAACUUGGAUCAAGAUUAACGCAAUCCUUGUCCAUAGUUAUGCUUUUUGAUAACGAAUCCCAAUCAUCUUUAGUACUUGGAUGUACCAUGGAAUCAAAAUUUUCAUUACUUUUUAUGGUGUCCUUAUCCUCCAAAUUGGUUAUUGUUGGAUCAACUGAGACUUCCUUCUGAUUCAAGUGAGACAUCCAACUUUUCUCCACAGUUACACUUUCUGAUAACGAUUCCCAUUCAUCUUUAGUACUUGAAUGUACCUUAGAAUUAAAAUCUUCAUUACUUUUUGAGGUGUCCUUAUCCUCCAAAUAAGUGAUUGUUGGAUCAAAUGAGA